rnacentral:rRNA from 1 species
UACGUAGGGGGCAAGCGUUAUCCGGAAUUACUGGGUGUAAAGGGUGAGUAGGCGGUAACACAAGCCAUAUGUGAAAUUCAGGGGCUCAACCCCUGAACUGCAUAAGGAACUGUGUAACUAGAGUGCAGGAGAGGUAAGUGGAAUUCCUAGUGUAGCGGUGAAAUGCGUAGAUAUUAGGAGGAACACCAGUGGCGAAGGCGACUUACUGGACUGUAACUGACGCUGAGGCACGAAAGCGUGGGGAGCGAACAGG